GACGAACGCUGGCGGCGUGCUUAACACAUGCAAGUCGAACGGAAAGGCCCUGCUUUUGUGGGGUGCUCGAGUGGCGAACGGGUGAGUAACACGUGAGUAACCUGCCCUUGACUUUGGGAUAACUUCAGGAAACUGGGGCUAAUACCGGAUAGGAGCUCCUGCUGCAUGGUGGGGGUUGGAAAGUUUCGGCGGUUGGGGAUGGACUCGCGGCUUAUCAGCUUGUUGGUGGGGUAGUGGCUUACCAAGGCUUUGACGGGUAGCCGGCCUGAGAGGGUGACCGGCCACAUUGGGACUGAGAUACGGCCCAGACUCCUACGGGAGGCAGCAGUGGGGAAUAUUGCACAAUGGGCGGAAGCCUGAUGCAGCAACGCCGCGUGCGGGAUGACGGCCUUCGGGUUGUAAACCGCUUUCGCCUGUGACGAAGCGUGAGUGACGGUAAUGGGUAAAGAAGCACCGGCUAACUACGUGCCAGCAGCCGCGGUGAUACGUAGGGUGCGAGCGUUGUCCGGAUUUAUUGGGCGUAAAGGGCUCGUAGGUGGUUGAUCGCGUCGGAAGUGUAAUCUUGGGGCUUAACCCUGAGCGUGCUUUCGAUACGGGUUGACUUGAGGAAGGUAGGGGAGAAUGGAAUUCCUGGUGGAGCGGUGGAAUGCGCAGAUAUCAGGAGGAACACUAGUGGCGAAGGCGGUUCUCUGGGCCUUUCCUGACGCUGAGGAGCGAAAGCGUGGGGAGCGAACAGGCUUAGAUACCCUGGUAGUCCACGCUGUAAACGGUGGGUACUAGGUGUGGGGUCCAUUCCACGGGUUCCGUGCCGUAGCUAACGCUUUAAGUACCCCGCCUGGGGAGUACGGCCGCAAGGCUAAAACUCAAAGGAAUUGACGGGGCCCCGCACAAGCGGCGGAGCAUGCGGAUUAAUUCGAUGCAACGCGUAGAACCUUACCUGGGUUUGACAUGGAUCGGGAGUGCUCAGAGAUGGGUGUGCCUCUUUUGGGGUCGGUUCACAGGUGGUGCAUGGCUGUCGUCAGCUAGUGUCGUGAGAUGUUGGGUUAAGUCCCGCAACGAGCGCAACCCUUGUUCACUGUUGCCAGCACGUUAUGGUGGGGACUCAGUGGAGACCGCCGGGGUCAACUCGGAGGAAGGUGGGGAUGACGUCAAGUCAUCAUGCCCCUUAUGUCCAGGGCUUCACGCAUGCUACAAUGGCUGGUACAGAGAGUGGCGAGCCUGUGAGGGUGAGCGAAUCUCGGAAAGCCGGUCUCAGUUCGGAUUGGGGUCUGCAACUCGACCUCAUGAAGUCGGAGUCGCUAGUAAUCGCAGAUCAGCAACGCUGCGGUGAAUACGUUCCCGGG
rnacentral:rRNA from 1 species